GUCCCUGCAGCGCACUGGGUAGUGCAUUGGACUUUUAAUCCAAAGAUCGUGGAUUCCAAUCCCACCUGGCAUU